UCUGGGCCGGGGUCAUGGCUCACGCCGGUAAUCCCAGCACUUUAGGAGGCGAGGUGGGUGGAUUACUUGAGGUCAGGAGUUCGAGACUGGCCUGACCAACAUGGUGAAACCCAGUCUCUACUAAAAAUACAAAAUUAGCCGAGCGUGGUGGCGCACGCCUGUUAUCCCAGCUACUCGGGAGGCUGAGGCAAGAGAAUCGCUUGAACCCGGGAGGCAGACGUUGCAAUGAUCCGAGAUCGCGCCAUUGUGCUCCGGCCUGGGCGACAAGAGUGAAACUACGUCUCAAAAAAAAAUUUUUUUAAUGUCUUCUGGCCAUGUUAGCAGAGUAGAAGAACGCCCGACCUGGCCGCGACCUACCCG
rnacentral:lncRNA from 1 species